CCUACGGGUGGCUGCAGUGAGGAAUAUUGGUCAAUGGGCGAAAGCCUGAACCAGCCAAGCCGCGUGAAGGAUGAAGGUGCCAAGGAUUGUAAACUUCUUUUAUAUAGGAAUAAAAUCAGGCACGUGAUCCUUUCUGUAUGUACUAUAUGAAUAAGCAUCGGCUAACUCCGUGCCAGCAGCCGCGGUAAUACGGAGGAUGCGAGCGUUAUCCGGAUUUAUUGGGUUUAAAGGGUGCGUAGGUGGUCAAUUAAGUCAGCGGUGAAAGGUUGUGGCUCAACCAUAAAAUUGCCGUUGAAACUGGUUGACUUGAGAAUAUGUGAGGUAGGCGGAAUGCGUGGUGUAGCGGUGAAAUGCAUAGAUAUCGCGCAGAACUCCGAUUGCGAAGGCAGCUUACUAAAGUAGAACUGACGCUGAAGCACGAAAGCGUGGGGAUCGAACAGGAUUAGAUACCCGUGUAGUC
rnacentral:rRNA from 1 species